UCACAUGAUGGACAUGAUAUAAUGAAACAACAUUGUGGAGAGGAAAGCAUUAGGGGAGCCCACGGCUACAAAAACAAGUGAGUGAGAAGACGUGGGAGGAAGAGAAACUACGCCACCUCUCCUGCAGCUGAGCCGCGCGCAGCAGCAGCCCGGGGGAAGUGGGCGACGCCGGGGGGAAGGGAGACCGGGUCCCCAGCCCCAGCCGGGGGACCCCGCCGCCCACUGCCGAGAGAACAACUUUUAGCCGGCAGCCUCAGCCAGCACUGCACCUGUCUCCGAAGCCUCCAUCGUUUCUCGUGAUGGUCAAGGGGAAAUUCUAGAAGAAUAUGCUCUACAAAAUAUACAUGCGCAUCAUUUUCCCCCUUGCGUCUCACGCUGGAGGAAGGAAAGAGAAAGGGAUUUAAGCAGCAGCGUGUCUUCAGCCCCAAGUUUCCAGGUGAUGCUGAUGCCGAUGUUGCUGGCCAGAGGACUAAAUGUUGAGAACCGUUGGAUUUGAUAAUCUCCUCUACACACCACCAAGCUGCCCUGGAAUGGAACUUCUGCUCAGUUCUUGGAUUGAGGGAUGGAGGAGGAGUUUACUUCAUUCAUUCUCAGGGACUCUUAACUGGUGAGAAGAAUUUAGGAUAUUUUACCAUCUGGAGUUUCUCUGCCUCACUGGUGAUUUAAACUCAAACCUGCCAGUUUAUGCAAGAUGAUAGAAAGUACCCUGUAACAUCUGAGUUGCAAAAAUAUCUGCCUCUGAGAGCUCAGGAGGAUCUGCUUUGUGGGAGCAAAGGUAGUGAGUCAUACCUGGAAGCUUGCGCCUCUUCAUCCAGUCAAGUCUCCUAUGCAACAGUUUAUGCAGCACUUAAAAGAUGAGGAGUUAAGAGGAGAAAAUGGAAAAAAAAAACAACAGAAGUACUUUUAAUGGAACAGAAUAAACCACUGAACAGGUACCAGAAAUUAUUAGGAGUUGGGUACAACAUAAUUAAACGAGUUAAUAUUUGUGAAGUCCUUAGAAGGUUACCUGGCAUGUUUAAAUAACUGCAUACGUGUUUGCUAUUAUUAAGUUCCUUUAAAUGUACCUUAGCCCAGAACAAAUCAGUAGUACAGCCAAGAACUACCCAACAACAACAACAAAAAACCCUUUUCCCCUAAAGCAAGUGUGAACAUCAUUGGUAAAUGCUGUCAUGGUCUCUGUAUGACUUGUUAUAGUGGUCUGAGAAACUUAAUUUCUUAAUCUCUGAGCCCUCUGAGUGUUUGAAUACCCAUUCAUUUUUGGUUUUGAGCACUCAUUCAUGAUGACUUUUAAGUGUCAGAUCAGUUUCAAUUUUUUGGAAUAAAGCAAGCUUCCUUAAAAUUCUCCAAGAGCUUUUCAUGUGGGGAGGUGGCUUCAUUUUCAGGGAGGCGCCGAGGUAGCCUGUGGAUAGUUAGUAAAGACAGAGGUGACAGCAUGAAGAUCCGCACUCACAUUUUCUGAGGGCGCCAGUGAUUACCUGGAAUAAGACGUUUCAACCUGCUGCCCCUGCCCCCGCACUAACUUCCCAUCAUAAAACUGCCGGUGUUACUGAGGGCUACCGACACUUUCAACAAACACUGAUAAGGGGCAAAUUAUGUGCCAAGUAUUGUGCUUGGCCUUGAACGUGUCUCCUCUCUCCUCACCCACCCACCUCUCCGGAUCGGCACCAGCUCCUGCCGCCUUCACCGCGCUGUGGGGAGACCUGGCUCCCCCGGCAUCCGGAGGGAUGCUUUCCGUGCCACCGUCCGUCCGUCUGUCUCUCCGGCUCCUCCCCCUCCGCACCCGAGCACUGCUCAUUCAGGCGGGGGAGGCACGCUGGGAGGCAGGCCCUGUGGUUUGAUACUGCUUUAGACGGCCGUCUUCCCCCAGAUUGCUGUGUCACAGUGUACACAGUUCCUUUAAAUGCCCCGUUGUUUCAUGUUUUGCCGUGUUUCCCCUCUGCGAUCUGGGGAUAUGACCUUGGGAAGUUACUUUUCUGUUCGGAGGUGUUCCGGAAGUGUAACUUGAGAGAGGCGGGCGCUGGUGGUGGGCUCGGUGUGUCAGUGGUUCUCAAACCUUUUUCUUGGAACCCCCAGGAAGUGUCAUGUUAGGACCCCGUGCGCCCACUUCCACGUGUGGAUGUGUGGAUUCCCGACACACCUUUACCGUAUGAGGGCUGCGAUAGAGUUUUCUAGUCUGUCCGAUUUCCUAUCACGUUUUCUUUUCUCCCUCCUCUUUUCUUUGGAGCGCUCCUCAUAACCCACUAGUCAGCUGCGCUUCGGCAGCGCGAGGUAUUUUUGUGCGGUGGUGGGGCACCUGCUUUUUCUUGCCUUUCUCUCCAUUUUCUGUGGUAAUGUGCCUAAGUCUCUUUUAUCCAUAAAUGUGCUCCCCCCCCAACUUGCCAUAACUUAAUUCUUUAUGUGUGAAACUCUUUCCCUAACUUAGCUCCUGUUUUUGUUUUCUCAUGUACCAUUCACUGCUCAAUAUUACAGUGAUUCACAAUAUUUUAGUGACUUCUGUGGAAUGCUAGCAAAAUUCUUGUUGAUUUGAGGCCAUGUAUUUAUAAAGGAAUCAUAAUUACGUACACCUAGGAUUAUUCAGUAUGCUCAACAAAUUUUCGUGGUUGUAAUGUGCAAAUGGUUCUUGUAAUUAAAGAUAAACUAAUAUUCAGCUGUCUUUGAGGAAUAUUUCUAAGGUUUAUAGGCAAUAAAUGAGACAGCAAAUCCUAGUUUUCUGUAUUAAAAAUAUGUCAUUUGAGUAGUCUUAGAAAUUUCUAAAUAUUCUGUUAUUGAAGCCAAGGCAACGUUGUUCUCUUGGUUCUUUGAGUAAUUAAGCCUUCCCAUGUAGUUAUGAAUACAGCAUAUUUGCCAAAAACUUUUAGCCAAAUAUUAUACUAUAGUAUAACAUUAUAUUAUAAUACUUAACCACAUAUUAUAGAUUAAUACAUUUCUACAUUUUACAAUUAUUUUAAAUGUCACAUUAGACGAUUUGAGUUACUUUGUUUUGCAGAAUCUAAGGUUUGAAAAUAUUGAGAAAAGAGAAUAAAGCAGACUUUGACAGCUAGUAGAUGUUAAGGUGUAUUUAUCAAAAUCUUUUGAAAAAAUCAUUAUCUAGGAUUUCGUUUUGAUUUUUCUUUUUUUCCAUUUACUUUCUAAAGCAAUUUUAAAUGAAUCAUAAAGUAUUUUUUCCAGUAAAUAAAUAGAUCAUGUACAAUAAU
rnacentral:lncRNA from 1 species